rnacentral:lncRNA from 10 species
AGAGGUGUAGGGAUUUCUGCGGCCACGGGCGCCAGCCUCAGAUGGGUCAGACAGUUCGAGGUGCCGGGUUUGAGGGACAGGAUGUUUCCAAUGGGGGUAGGGAGACAGGGGAACGCCUCAACUUGGCGUUCCUUUUGGGGGUGGAGGGUGGGUCAGGCGAGGGAAACCCAUAGACACAGCCCUUCUCCAACUUCAACUUUCUGUAUUAAUGGUGACAUGGACGUGCUGUGUUCAUCCUUGACUAUUAAUGUACAAAAGUAAAGUUAUAACCCAGUGCAAACUGAGAUAAACGAACACAGUGUUUCUCAAAUUUGAACGUGCAUCAGAAUUACCUGCAGGGCUUGUUAAAACACUGCUAGUUUCUGAUUCUGUAAGGGGGCCCCGAGAAUUUGCAUUUCUACCAAGUUUCCAGGUGCCUCUGGUGCUGCUGGUGUGGGGACCACAUUUUAAGAACCACUGAAGUAAGAAUAAAAGGCCAUGGAGUUUCAUAACCUAAAGAUGGGGACAAGUAUCUGCUGGCUGCGUGCCUGACAGGGUCACUGUUGGGCCGGAGGAAAAUGGUAAGUGUGACGGGAGACAAGGGCGUCCCCCUCGACUAGGUUUUGCCCAAAAAAAGGAAAAAUAAAGGAGAAAGGAAGAGGCGUGCUGCCUGGGUCAAAGGGCAGCUGCGAUAUUUUAAACCCGGAAUGUGGUUGUGUCAUUCCUCGGACCCCGGGGAAACGCGCAUUUUUUUCUCCUGGCUCCUAUUACUGUGAGCUGUAUCUCUAGGCUGAACAGAGAGAUCACAGAUCAGCAGAGCUGCGGUUCCGUGCAAAACCCAGGAGGAACCAGUUUUACCUCUCCUUUAGGCCUUGAACUUUCCAUGUAUAGCUUAUCAAGCCAAAGCCCUGCCUAUGAGCUGAGUCAAGAAGGAAGAGGGGAAAAUUGCUCGCUGUCUACCUUCUAUCUGUGUGCCCUGUCCUGUUCGAGUUCGCGAGUAUAUGAAAACCUCUGAAUUUGGAUUACUUCUCCUAGUUUUCAUAGUCAAGUACGAACUACUGCCCCGUCCAAGACAUAUUUUUUACCCCAAAACAAAUUAUAAUUAACGUUAAACCAAUGGGCAUCGGAGAUGGAAAUCGAUACGCGCCUUUGUUCUCCAACUGAGAGUACUGGUGCGCUUAUCGCCACUUGGGGUAUGAGGGCUCAGAUCCACCUAAAGGCAGCCUCUGGUUGCUGUUCUCUCCCUCUAGGGUACGGGAAUCCUUUCAAGGUGAAAAUUAGGUAGGUGGAAGAUACAAACGACACCUCCCGUGAGUUUUGCAUUCAGAACUCGCUGACUCAGGUUAUUCCUGGAUGGCUGUGAAAAAAACUUAAAGAA